GGUUCCGUGGCCCAAUCGGCAGAGGCGCUUCUCUCAAAAGGAAGAUGUUGUGGGUUCGAAUCCCACCGGGACUAC
rnacentral:tRNA from 2 species